rnacentral:lncRNA from 10 species
AAAACAAACUGCCCCUUUGUGUAAUCUUUGGCCCAUGGCUCUGAAAAGUUUUUUCAAUGUAUUUUGGUAAGACACACUCAACUAGUACUAUCGACUAGUAUUUUCCUUUCUUGAGAAUUUUCUUCUGAUAUUUUUGGCCUUCUUUUUCCAUUGUACAAUGGCAUCUUUUCUUUUUAAUGGAUAUUGGCAAAUCAUAUUACAAAGAUGAAAAUGGAAACUUCAAAGAUUUGUCAAGAAUCCCAAAGAGGAAAGACUCCAACUCAAGGACAGAGGGAACAUGGCGACCUCAAGGGAAUAAGAGCAGCCACCAGCUGAGGCAGCAUCCAUAUGUGUGGGGGGGAUGAGAAUCCACAUUCUGGAAGAACAUGUGAGAAUGACUCAGGAUGGCACAUCUGCUUUAAGGUCUAGAACUACUGAACCCUCUUCAAAUUCUACUGUAUUGCUCUAGAUAAAUACAUGCUUAUUCUUUUUUUAACAGCUUUAUUGAGAUAUAAUUCACAUGCCAUACAAUUUACCUGUUUAAAGUAUAUAAUUAAUGGCUUUUAGUAUAUUCAUAGUUGUGCAACAAUCACCGAAAGCAAUCUUAGAACAUUUUUAUUACCCCCCAAAUUAACCACAUGCCCCUUACCUAUCACUUGCCCAAUCCUCCCCUUUCAAUUAGCUUUAGGCAACCACUAACUGACUUUCUGUCUACGUAGAUUUACCUAUUCUGGACAUUUUCUAUAAAUGGAGUCAUACAGUACAUGACCAUGUAUGACUGCCUUCUCCCAGUCAGCAUCAUGUUUUCAAGGUUCAUCGUGUUGUAUCAAGUAACAGUAUUUCUCUUCUUUCUUUUCUUCUUUAAAUAGCUUUACUGAUAUAUAAUUCAUAUAAUGUAUGGUUCACCCAUUUAAAGUGUUCAAUUCACUGGGCACACAGGCUCAUGCCUGUAAUCCCACCACUUUGGGAGGCCAGAACAGUGGAAUAGCUUGAAGCCAGGAGUCUGAGACCAGCCUGGGCAGCAAAGCAAGACCCUGUUUAUAAUAAAUAAGUAAAUAAAUAAAUAAGGCUCAGUGACAUGCACCUGCAAUCCCAGCUACUCAAGAGGCUGAGGCAGGAGGAUCACUUGAACCCAGGAGUUUGGAAGCUGCAAUGAGCUAUGAUCAUGACAACUGCACUCCCGCCUAGGCAACACAAUGGGACCCCAUCUCUAAAAAAUAAAUUUAAAAAAUAAUAAAGUGUUCAAUUCAAUGGCUUUUAGUAUAUUCACAAGUAUGUGCACCAAUCACCAUAGUCAAUUAAAAACAUUUCACCACCUCAAAAAGAAACCUUAUACCUUUGAACUAUCCCACCUGUACUGGCCUAACUCCCCCAGCCCUAAGCAACCACUAAUCUACUUUGUCUACAUGGAUUUGCCUCUUCUCAACGUUCACGUGAAUCGAAUAACAUGGUAUGUGGUCUUUUGUGACUGGCUUCUUUCACAUAGCAUAAGCGUGAUAUUUUCAAGGUUCACCCAUGUUGUAGCAUGUAUUAACACCUCAUUUCUUUUUAUGGUUAAACAAUAUCCCACUG